rnacentral:tRNA from 1 species
GGGGAUUUAGCUCAGCGGUAGAGCGCUUGCCUAGCAAGGCCCUGGGUUCGAUCCCCAGCUCCG